rnacentral:rRNA from 1 species
CCUACGGGUGGCAGCAGUGAGGAAUAUUGGUCAAUGGGCGCGAGCCUGAACCAGCCAAGUCGCGUGAAGGAUGACUGCCCUACGGGUUGUAAACUUCUUUUAUAAAGGAAUAAAGUGAGGCACGUGUGCCUUUUUGUAUGUACUUUAUGAAUAAGGAUCGUCUAACUCCGUGCCAGCAGCCGCGGUAAUACGGAGGAGCCGAGCGUUAUCCGGAUUUAUUGGGUUUAAAGGGAGCGUAGAUGGGUUGUUAAGUCAGUUGUGAAAGUUUGCGGCUCAACCGUAAAAUUGCAAUUGAUACUGGCAGGCUUGAGUACAGGUGAGGUAGGCGGAAUUCGUGGUGUAGCGGUGAAAUGCUUAGAUAUCACGAAGAACUCCGAUUGCGAAGGCAGCUUACUAAACUGCAACUGACAUUGAUGCUCGAAAGUGUGGGUAUCAAACAGGAUUAGAUACCCUAGUAGUC